rnacentral:rRNA from 1 species
UUUUAUGGAGAGUUUGAUCCUGGCUCAGGAUGAACGCUGGCGGCGUGCCUAAUACAUGCAAGUCGAGCGAACGGACGAGAAGCUUGCUUCUCUGAUGUUAGCGGCGGACGGGUGAGUAACACGUGGAUAACCUACCUAUAAGACUGGGAUAACUUCGGGAAACCGGAGCUAAUACCGGAUAAUAUUUUGAACCGCAUGGUUCAAAAGUAAAAGACGGUCUUGCUGUCACUUAUAGAUGGAUCCGCGCUGCAUUAGCUAGUUGGUAAGGUAACGGCUUACCAAGGCAACGAUGCAUAGCCGACCUGAGAGGGUGAUCGGCCACACUGGAACUGAGACACGGUCCAGACUCCUACGGG